rnacentral:rRNA from 1 species
GGAAUAUUGGACAAUGGGCGCAAGCCUGAUCCAGCCAUGCCGCGUGAGUGAUGAAGGCCUUAGGGUUGUAAAGCUCUUUUGUCCGGGACGAUAAUGACGGUACCGGAAGAAUAAGCCCCGGCUAACUUCGUGCCAGCAGCCGCGGUAAUACGAAGGGGGCUAGCGUUGCUCGGAAUCACUGGGCGUAAAGGGCGCGUAGGCGGCCAUUCAAGUCGGGGGUGAAAGCCUGUGGCUCAACCACAGAAUUGCCUUCGAUACUGUUUGGCUUGAGUAUGGUAGAGGUUGGUGGAACUGCGAGUGUAGAGGUGAAAUUCGUAGAUAUUCGCAAGAACACCGGUGGCGAAGGCGGCCAACUGGACCAUUACUGACGCUGAGGCGCGAAAGCGUGGGGAGCAAACA